rnacentral:rRNA from 1 species
UAAAACGGUGAGUAAUACCGCAUACGCCCUUCGGGGGAAAGAUUUAUCGGAUUUGGAUCGGCCCGCGUUAGAUUAGAUAGUUGGUGGGGUAAUGGCCUACCAAGUCUACGAUCUAUAGCUGGUUUUAGAGGAUGAUCAGCCACACUGGGACUGAGACACGGCCCAGACUCCUACGGGAGGCAGCAGUGGGGAAUCUUAGACAAUGGGCGCAAGCCUGAUCUAGCCAUGCCGCGUGAGUGAUGAAGGCCUUAGGGUCGUAAAGCUCUUUCGCCAGGGAUGAUAAUGACAGUACCUGGUAAAGAAACCCCGGCUAACUCCGUGCCAGCAGCCGCGGUAAUACGGAGGGGGUUAGCGUUGUUCGGAAUUACUGGGCGUAAAGCGCGCGUAGGCGGACUAUUAAGUCAGGGGUGAAAUCCCGGGGCUCAACCCCGGAACUGCCCUUGAUACUGGUAGUCUUGAGUUCGAGAGAGGUGAGUGGAACUCCGAGUGUAGAGGUGAAAUUCGUAGAUAUUCGGAAGAACACCAGUGGCGAAGGCGGCUCACUGGCUCGAUACUGACGCUGAGGUGCGAAAGUGUGGGGAGCAAACAGGAUUAGAUACCCUGGUAGUCCACACCGUAAACGAUGAAUGCCAGUCGUCGGGUAGCAUGCUAUUCGGUGACACACCUAACGGAUUAAGCAUUCCGCCUGGGGGAGUACGGUCGCAAGAUUAAAACUCAAAGGAAUUGACGGGGGCC